rnacentral:misc_RNA from 1 species
GGCUGUGGAUGGAGACGGCAUCUUCGGAUGCAUGACCUUUCCCGUGCUUUUUAGAACAUAGAUCGGAUCAGUCAGAUCACGAUCGAAACGCAAUACGUCGAGUAUGGGUCUGGUUGUCCUUCGAGCGUCAAGCGCGAGGGGCGUUUAGCCAUAUCCGGCUCAGAUAAGGCGAGAGCCGCCGUCCACGUUUCUCUUUCUCACAAGGAUACGAACCACGCCGCAUCAUGUUGCGUGCUUAACGAAUGGGCCCGUAGCUCAGGUGGUUAGAGCGCACGCCUGAUAAGCGUGAGGUCGGCAGUUCGAGUCUGCCCGGGCCCACCAUUCGCUCUGCGAAUGUGUCCUGACGCUGUCGCGAUCUGAAGAUCGCUUCGCUCCGGACGGGCCGCCGAACGAUCGGCGACGGGCUUUGCCCUUGCGGCGCUUGUUGCGCCGACAGGCAUGCUUGACAUGUUCACCGAAGCCGGCGUCGCCGGUCAUCGAAAGAUGGGGCUGUAGCUCAGCUGGGAGAGCACCUGCUUUGCAAGCGGGGGGUCAGCGGUUCGAUCCCGCUCAGCUCCACCAUUCGAUUGGUGUUGAACUGGCGGUAAUUAUCCUUGGAGAAAAGUAGGUUUGCAUCUUCUUUAURAGACGGAUGCCUGUUCUGCAAUAAUUAGGAAAAAAAAUAUAUGUCUGGAAGCUUGCGGGGGAUGGAGGUGAACGGAUGGUUGGCGGAAGACGUCCCCCCCCCCCCCCCGAAGCAUCCAGGAUCGUCCCCCCCCACCGAAUAUGGAGGAGUGGUGGAGGGAGGAAGGAUGUUUGUUAAAGAAGGAGGGUGGUGGGGGGGCCUCCSGGAGGCCCCCCUGUGGUCUGGGGUUUAGUGGGUGCCGCCACACGGUAAUCGGGAGAGAUUUGCGGAGAUGGUGGUCUAAAAAAGGGGCUGAAGAACCCCCCCGGGGGUYUCCCAAAARASASCYCUUKACAAACCUMGWGSRYUAUUUUGGGUUUUUAUAAAAAGGACCG